GGGGGUAUAGCUCAGGGGUAGAGCAUUUGACUGCAGAUCAAGAGGUCCCUGGUUCAAAUCUAGGUGCCCCCU